UACGUAGGGGGGCAAGCGUUGUCCGGAUUUAUUGGGCGUAAAGAGCGUGUAGGCGGCCAGGUAGGUCUGCUGUGAAAACUCGAGGCUUAACCUCGAGAUGUCGGCGGAAACCAUCUGGCUAGAGUCCGGAAGAGGAGAAUGGAAUUCCCGGUGUAGCGGUGAAAUGCGCAGAUAUCGGGAAGAACACCCGUGGCGAAGGCGGUCUCUGGGACGGUACUGACGCUGAGACGCGAAAGCGUGGGGAGCGAACAGG
rnacentral:rRNA from 1 species